rnacentral:rRNA from 1 species
GAUGAACGCUGGCGGCGUGCCUAAUACAUGCAAGUCGAGCGAACAGACGAGGCUCUUGUUCCUUUCACGUUAGCGGCGGACGGGUGAGUAACACGUGGAUAACCUACUUAUAAGACUGGGAUAAUUUCGGGAAACCGGAUCUAACACCGUAUAAUAUAUUGCACCGUAUUGUUCAAUAGUGAAAGUCGGCUUUGGUGUCACUUCUAGAUGCUUCUGGGCCGCAUUAGCUAGUUGGUACGGUAACGGCUUACCACGGCGACGAUGCGUAGCCGAACUGAGAGGGUGAUAGGCCGCACUGGAACGGGAACACGGACAAGGGUCCUAAGAGAGGCAGCAGUAGGGAAUGUUCCGCAGUAGGCGGAAGCAUGGCGGAGCGACGCCACGUGAGUGAUGAAGGUGUUCGGAUCGUGAAAAUGUGUUUUGAGGGAAAAACAGAUGUGUAAGUAACUAAGCACGUCGUGACGGUACCUGAUCAGGAAGCAACGGCUAACUACGUG